rnacentral:rRNA from 1 species
GAUGAACGCUGGCGGCGUGCCUAAUACAUGCAAGUCGAGCGAACAGACGAGGAGCUUGCUCCUCUGACGUUAGCGGCGGACGGGUGAGUAACACGUGGAUACCCUACCUAUAAGACUGGGAUAACUUCGGGAAACCGGCGCUAAUACCGGAUAAUAUAUUGAACCGCAUGGUUCAAUAGUGAAAGACGGUUUUGCUGUCACUUAUAGAUGGAUCCGCGCCGCAUUAGCUAGUUGGUAAGGUAACGGCUUACCAAGGCAACGAUGCGUAGCCGACCUGAGAGGGUGAUCGGCCACACUGGAACUGAGACACGGUCCAGACUCCUACGGGAGGCAGCAGUAGGGAAUCUUGCGCAAACGGCGAAAGCUUGACGGAGCAACGCCGCGUGAGUGAUGAAGGUCUUCGGAUCGUAAAACUCUGUUAUUAGGGAAGAACAAAUGUGUAAGUAACUAUGCACGUCUUGACGGUACCUAAUCAGAAAGCCACGGCUAACUACGUG